rnacentral:rRNA from 1 species
AUUGAACGCUGGCGGCAGGCCUAACACAUGCAAGUCGAGCGGAUGAAGGGAGCUUGCUCCUGGAUUCAGCGGCGGACGGGUGAGUAAUGCCUAGGAAUCUGCCUGGCAGUGGGGGAUAACGUCCGGAAACGGGCGCUAAUACCGCAUACGUCCUGAGGGAGAAAGUGGGGGAUCUUCGGACCUCACGCUAUUAGAUGAGCCUAGGUCGGAUUAGCUAGUUGGUGGGGUAAAGGCCUACCAAGGCGACGAUCCGUAACUGGUCUGAGAGGAUGAUCAGUCACACUGGAACUGAGACACGGUCCAGACUCCUACGGGAGGCAGCAGUGGGGAAUAUUGGACAAUGGGCGAAAGCCUGAUCCAGCCAUGCCGCGUGUGUGAAGAAGGUCUUCGGAUUGUAAAGCACUUUAAGUUGGGAGGAAGGGCAGUAAGUUAAUACCUUGCUGUUUUGACGUUACCAACAGAAUAAGCACCGGCUAACUUCGUG